UUUAUGGAGAGUUUGAUCCUGGCUCAGGAUGAACGCUGGCGGCGUGCCUAAUACAUGCAAGUCGAGCGAACGGACGAGAAGCUUGCUUCUCUGAUGUUAGCGGCGGACGGGUGAGUAACACGUGGAUAACCUACCUAUAAGACUGGGAUAACUUCGGGAAACCGGAGCUAAUACCGGAUAAUAUUUUGAACCGCAUGGUUCAAAAGUGAAAGACGGUCUUGCUGUCACUUAUAGAUGGAUCCGCGCUGCAUUAGCUAGUUGGUAAGGUAACGGCUUACCAAGGCAACGAUGCAUAGCCGACCUGAGAGGGUGAUCGGCCACACUGGAACUGAGACACGGUCCAGACUCCUACGGGAGGCAGCAGUAGGGAAUCUUCCGCAAUGGGCGAAAGCCUGACGGAGCAACGCCGCGUGAGUGAUGAAGGUCUUCGGAUCGUAAAACUCUGUUAUUAGGGAAGAACAUAUGUGUAAGUAACUGUGCACAUCUUGACGGUACCUAAUCAGAAAGCCACGGCUAACUACGUGCCAGCAGCCGCGGUAAUACGUAGGUGGCAAGCGUUAUCCGGAAUUAUUGGGCGUAAAGCGCGCGUAGGCGGUUUUUUAAGUCUGAUGUGAAAGCCCACGGCUCAACCGUGGAGGGUCAUUGGAAACUGGAAAACUUGAGUGCAGAAGAGGAAAGUGGAAUUCCAUGUGUAGCGGUGAAAUGCGCAGAGAUAUGGAGGAACACCAGUGGCGAAGGCGACUUUCUGGUCUGUAACUGACGCUGAUGUGCGAAAGCGUGGGGAUCAAACAGGAUUAGAUACCCUGGUAGUCCACGCCGUAAACGAUGAGUGCUAAGUGUUAGGGGGUUUCCGCCCCUUAGUGCUGCAGCUAACGCAUUAAGCACUCCGCCUGGGGAGUACGACCGCAAGGUUGAAACUCAAAGGAAUUGACGGGGACCCGCACAAGCGGUGGAGCAUGUGGUUUAAUUCGAAGCAACGCGAAGAACCUUACCAAAUCUUGACAUCCUUUGACAACUCUAGAGAUAGAGCCUUCCCCUUCGGGGGACAAAGUGACAGGUGGUGCAUGGUUGUCGUCAGCUCGUGUCGUGAGAUGUUGGGUUAAGUCCCGCAACGAGC
rnacentral:rRNA from 1 species